rnacentral:lncRNA from 1 species
ACUAUUCGCGAUCCGCUGCACAGGUUCUAAUUCGCUACCAUACUGCUAAAUACUACUCCUAUUUAGUACCUUGCCAACUACGGAGUACAACCAAAAUCUACGGCAUGGCGUCACGGCCUAUAAAGCGAAAGCAGCUGCUGCUAGUAUAUAGUAGGAUAGGACGCAUAAACUAUCGCGGCAACUGGGCCGGGGAAUAAUGGCGGUGCCGGGAAGGAAAUGUGAGAGCCAAGCUGCAGGACAUAAUAAAGCUCCAUCUUCUCGAUUGCAACUACAAAUCAAACUGCAAGUUGCCAUGCUUGCUCGGUUACUAAUUUAUACUACC